GGCACAUCAUCUCAAAUAAUCAAUUAUCUAUAUGAUCGAUAUCAUCGACAAUUAUAUAUAAUGAAGCUAGUCUAAUAAUAGAAUCUACCUUAUCACUAUCUAUUACAGGACAUUAUCAAUCUGUUCGCUUCUUUGAGUUGUCAUUCAUAUAUCCCGAUUGGCUACUUCAUAAUCCUUCGGAUCAAGUAGAUCCAGUGCUUCCAAUGGGUUAC
rnacentral:lncRNA from 1 species